AUGGCACAUAAUAGAGCCCCUGGCCCAGAUAACAUACCUGUUGACUUCUAUCAGGUGUGCUGGGAUAUUGUUAAAUAUGAUAUUAUGAGGCUGUUUGUGAGUUUUCAUAAUGGGACUUUGGAUGUGCAACGUCUUAACUAUUGGGUGAUUACUCUUUUACCAAAAACUACGGGCGUGGAUAAAAUCCAGCAAUUUAGACCUAUAUGUCUCCUGAGAUGUCCAUACAAGCUUAUUACUAAAGUUUUGGAUCGGCGAGUGGAGAGAUACGCUGAUAAGCUCAUUAGCUAG
rnacentral:rRNA from 1 species